GACGAACGCUGGCGGCGUGCUUAACACAUGCAAGUCGAACGGAAAGGCCCUGCUUUUGUGGGGUGCUCGAGUGGCGAACGGGUGAGUAACACGUGAGUAACCUGCCCUUGACUUUGGGAUAACUUCAGGAAACUGGGGCUAAUACCGGAUAGGAGCUCCUGCUGCAUGGUGGGGGUUGGAAAGUUUCGGCGGUUGGGGAUGGACUCGCGGCUUAUCAGCUUGUUGGUGGGGUAGUGGCUUACCAAGGCUUUGACGGGUAGCCGGCCUGAGAGGGUGACCGGCCACAUUGGGACUGAGAUACGGCCCAGACUCCUACGGGAGGCAGCAGUGGGGAAUAUUGCACAAUGGGCGGAAGCCUGAUGCAGCAACGCCGCGUGCGGGAUGACGGCCUUCGGGUUGUAAACCGCUUUCGCCUGUGACGAAGCGUGAGUGACGGUAAUGGGUAAAGAAGCACCGGCUAACUACGUGCCAGCAGCCGCGGUGAUACGUAGGGUGCGAGCGUUGUCCGGAUUUAUUGGGCGUAAAGGGCUCGUAGGUGGUUGAUCGCGUCGGAAGUGUAAUCUUGGGGCUUAACCCUGAGCGUGCUUUCGAUGCGGGUUGACUUGAGGAAGGUAGGGGAGAAUGGAAUUCCUGGUGGAGCGGUGGAAUGCGCAGAUAUCAGGAGGAACACCAGUGGCGAAGGCGGUUCUCUGGGCCUUUCCUGACGCUGAGGAGCGAAAGCGUGGGGAGCGAACAGGCUUAGAUACCCUGGUAGUCCACGCUGUAAACGGUGGGUACUAGGUGUGGGGUCCAUUCCACGGGUUCCGUGCCGUAGCUAACGCUUUAAGUACCCCGCCUGGGGAGUACGGCCGCAAGGCUAAAACUCAAAGGAAUUGACGGGGCCCCGCACAAGCGGCGGAGCAUGCGGAUUAAUUCGAUGCAACGCGUAGAACCUUACCUGGGUUUGACAUGGAUCGGGAGUGCUCAGAGAUGGGUGUGCCUCUUUUGGGGUCGGUUCACAGGUGGUGCAUGGCUAUCGUCAGCUCGUGUCGUGAGAUGUUGGGUUAAGUCCCGCAACGAGCGCAACCCUUGUUCACUGUUGCCAGCACGUUAUGGUGGGGACUCAGUGGAGACCGCCGGGGUCAACUCGGAGGAAGGUGGGGAUGACGUCAAGUCAUCAUGCCCCUUAUGUCCAGGGCUUCACGCAUGCUACAAUGGCUGGUACAGAGAGUGGCGAGCCUGUGAGGGUGAGCGAAUCUCGGAAAGCCGGUCUCAGUUCGGAUUGGGGUCUGCAACUCGGCCUCAUGAAGUCGGAGUCGCUAGUAAUCGCAGAUCAGCAACGCUGCGGUGAAUACGUUCCCGGGGCU
rnacentral:rRNA from 1 species